rnacentral:rRNA from 1 species
UACGUAGGGUGCAAGCGUUGUCCGGAUUUAUUGGGUUUAAAGGGUGCGUAGGUGGCCUGUUAAGUCAGCGGUGAAAGCAGAUUGCUCAACAAUCUAACUGCCAUUGAUACUGAUAGGCUUGGGUUAUGAUAAGGUAACUGGAAUGGGUGGUGUAGCGGUGAAAUGCAUAGAUAUCACCCAGAACGUCAAUUGCGAAGGCAAGUUACUGGUCAUUGACCGACACUGAGGCACGAAAGUGUGGGGAUCAAACAGG